rnacentral:rRNA from 1 species
UACGUAGGGUGCGAGCGUUAAUCGGAAUUACUGGGCGUAAAGCGUGCGCAGGCGGUUUUGUAAGUCAGAUGUGAAAGCCCCGGGCUUAACCUGGGAAUGGCAUUUGGGACUGCAAGGCUUGAGUGCGGCAGAGGAGACUGGAAUUCCUGGUGUAGCAGUGAAAUGCGUAGAUAUCAGGAGGAAUACCGAUGGCGAAGGCAGGUCUCUGGGCUGACACUGACGCUCAUGCACGAAAGCGUGGGGAUCAAACAGG